rnacentral:tRNA from 1 species
GGUAAAAUGGCUGAGUAAAGCAAUAGACUGUAAAUCUAAGAACAGAGGUUCAAUUCCUCUUUUUACCA